rnacentral:rRNA from 1 species
AUUGAACGCUGGCGGCAUGCUUUACACAUGCAAGUCGAGCGGCAGCGCGGGGGCAACCCUGGCGGCGAGCGGCGAACGGGUGAGUAAUGCAUCGGAACGUAUCCUCGAGUGGGGGAUAACCCAGCGAAAGUUGGGCUAAUACCGCAUGAGCUCUGAGGAGGAAAGCGGGGGACCUGCGAGGGCCUCGCGCUGGAGGAGCGGCCGAUGUCCGAUUAGCUAGUUGGUGGGGUAAAGGCUUACCAAGGCGACGAUCGGUAGCUGGUCUGAGAGGAUGAUCAGCCACACUGGGACUGAGACACGGCCCAGACUCCUACGGGAGGCAGCAGUGGGGAAUUUUGGACAAUGGGGGCAACCCUGAUCCAGCCAUGCCGCGUGAGUGAAGAAGGCCUUCGGGUUGUAAAGCUCUUUCGGACGGAACGACAUGGGCGGGACUAAUACUCCUGUCUGAUGACGGUACCGUAAGAAGAAGCACCGGCUAACUACGUG